AUUGAACGCUGGCGGCGUGCUUAACACAUGCAAGUCGAACGAUGAACUUGGAGCUUGCUCUGGGGGAUUAGUGGCGAACGGGUGAGUAACACGUGAGUAACCUGCCCUGGACUCUGGGAUAACUUCGAGAAAUCGGAGCUAAUACCGGAUAGGACCUUGCACCGCAUGGUGUGGGGUGGAAAGUUUUUCGGUUUGGGAUGGACUCGCGGCCUAUCAGCUUGUUGGUGAGGUAAUGGCUCACCAAGGCGUCGACGGGUAGCCGGCCUGAGAGGGUGACCGGCCACACUGGGACUGAGACACGGCCCAGACUCCUACGGGAGGCAGCAGUGGGGAAUAUUGCACAAUGGGCGCAAGCCUGAUGCAGCAACGCCGCGUGCGGGAUGACGGCCUUCGGGUUGUAAACCGCUUUUAGUAGGGAAGAAGCCUUCGGGUGACGGUACCUGCAGAAAAAGGACCGGCUAACUACGUGCCAGCCGCCGCGGUAACAC
rnacentral:rRNA from 1 species